AACGGCUGAAGCAAGUGAUUGCUCUUCCAAACAUGUACGGCUCCAGUUUACUGAACGCCACCGUCAUAAUGAACAAGGGACACAUGUUCAUCGCCACUGACCUGGUCCACGAGCCCCAGGCUGCUGUAUAGCCAUGAGGGGCACCCAGAAGGAAGAAGAAAGUCAGCUGCCCCCUGUUCCUGCCUCAGGGUUUUUCCCAAGAUGCUCACCUUGCACGCUCAGGAGUCAUUUGAGGCAGUGAUCAAGGACAAUGUGGGGACAUUGGGCCUUUCCUGGGGAAGUCAGGUUUGGGCAGAGAUUGGACAGUGCAGAGCCAGCCGAAAACAUUUUGCUGCCUGAAGCCAGAGGACAAGAUGACCUCCCCCUCCAGUUCCACGUCUAAAAGCCAGCAGGACUGAAAGUUGCAUCUUCCUUCAGAUACUGGGAUGCUACCUUCUGCCCCACCUGAGCAGAGCAGAAUAGCUUAAGGAAAUGCAGAACAGAGCCCGUUUCAUGCACAGCCCUGUCCUCCACCUCUUGGUGCAAAAGAAAAAUAUUGUUAUAGAAGCUGGGUACCAACCCCACCCUCUGCUGAGCGAUAGCAAGAUCCCAGGGCGUUCCAGGCACUCGCCCGGGGUCUGUGCUCCUUUGGAGAAUUGAAGACACGACGGAGACUGCCAUAGCUUUAAGAAAUAUGGUUUAUUCACAUAUGGACACAUUCAGUCUGCCUGGAGGGAGUCCAGAUCUUACAGCAGCAUGGACAUUUCAAGAGGGGUUUGUCCCCAACGGCAUUGCAACACUUGAGUCAAAAGCAUCUUUCCCAGACAGCCUUCAGCCAGCCUGCCCAAGAUGGAUCUCUUCUUUCUCUCUCUCUUCUUCCCAGCACACCUUGCUCUAAAGACUCUCUUUUCCUGACACUUCACAGCCAGUUAUCCUGGCAACCUUCUGUCUCUCCAGGCCCAAGAUCAACACCCUUUGUCCACCAUCAUCAUAAUUUAUUAUGGUCAAAGACCACCCUUUGUCCUGUUAAUGCCUCUGUCCCAGGUGAGGCCGUGGCUUGGAAAGGAAGCUUAGCUUGUAUUUUUCCACUGGCCUGUAAUCUUCCCUUCAAUACCCCAAAUAAUCAAAAUCCUAGACUUUCUUAAUUUCUUAAUAUAUAUAAUGGGAGAAUUCCUAGAUGCCAAGAUCCAAAUUUGGGGCAAGAACCCGAGCAGAGUUUAAAGCCACAAAAACAAGGCUGUUAGACCUUUCAAGUGAGUUCCAAAAAAUGUCCCUUUUAACAGUUAAAAAGUUUCCCUUUUCCCCUAGCAUAGGUAAAAGAGCACACAUUUCGUCAGUUAAACAUUGGUUUACUUACAAACUUUUCAAAGGUCGGGUUCAUGGGCUUUAGCAAAUUUGCACAGGCAGUGAAACUUAGCUUAGUUGGAAAGUGGUAAAAGUUCCUAGAUUAUUGGUAUUAUAGGAACUCAAGAGAGGCUUGUUAAAGCCAUGUGGUUGGAAGGAGCAGCUCAGAGCUCCUGACACUCCAAAGUUCACAUGCAGUCUGGGGGUGAACAGAGGCUUGAUUUCCUAGUUCCUCCCAAGGUGAGGGAGAGAGGACUUAGCUAAGCCUGGCUGGACAGCUUACUCUAUGGUAUUAACCCCUUCAUGUUGGAUGCCUGAGACUGGUUAUCCCACAAUUGUCAUCCUUCAGCAGCUGCUGCCUAAGGCAGUUGCCUCACACUGCCUAACAGUAGAACCGGCUUUGGCACAGCAUAACAGAUUGAUCUUACCAAGGCAGGAGAGGUUCCCCUUGGCUAGCUCAUCUCUUGCUAGGAAAUGGAAGCCACUCACCUCCACCUGCCCCCUUCCCUCUUAGCACCCAUCUCCAGUAAUCCCACAACACUUUUUGGAAACCACUGGGGAAAUUCUACUGGUGGCACCACGCCCUACAGAAUAUCACAGUGUGGGGUAGCCUGACAAAUUGGCAUUUUCCACCACUGCUCCUGUGCCGUGAAUGCCCUUAACCUUUGCCCUGUUAAUACCAAGUUCCUUUUUAAAGCUUGUUUUUAUAAGACUGCUUUUACUGGUUUCCAUGUUGUGUACCUGCUUUUAUGAUGCUGUUUUUGGUUUUUGCAUGUUGCUUUUGUAUCUGGCUUAGAUGUUUUUAAAUGCCAAGUGGUUUCGAAACGCUAAUAAAGAAAUAAAGAAGAUU